rnacentral:rRNA from 1 species
GCAUGGAUCUGCGGGAAAGGGAUUUAUUCGCUCUAGGAUGGACUCGCGUCCAAUUAGCUAGUUGGUGAGGUAACGGCCCACCAAGGCGACGAUUGGUAGCCGGACUGAGAGGUUGAACGGCCACAUUGGGACUGAGACACGGCCCAGACUCCUACGGGAGGCAGCAGUGGGGGAUAUUGCACAAUGGGGGAAACCCUGAUGCAGCGACGCCGCGUGGAGGAAGAAGGUUUUCGGAUUGUAAACUCCUGUCGUUAGGGACGAUAAUGACGGUACCUAACAAGAAAGCACCGGCUAACUGCGUGCCAGCAGCCGCGGUAAAACGUAGGGUGCAAGCGUCGUCCGGAAUUACUGGGUGUAAAGGGAGCGCAGGCGGACCGGCAAGUUGGAAGUGGAAACUAUGGGCUCAACCCAUAAAUUGCUUUCAAAACUGCUGGCCUUGAGUAGUGCAGAGGUAGGUGGAAUUCCCGGUGUAGCGGUGGAAUGCGUAGAUAUCGGGAGGAACACCAGUGGCGAAGGCGACCUACUGGGCACCAACUGACGCUGAGGCUCGAAAGCAUGGGUAGCAAACAGGAUUAGAUACCCUGGUAGUCCAUGCCGUAAACGAUGAUUACUAGGUGUUGGAGGAUUGACCCCUUCAGUG